AUUGAACGCUGGCGGCAUGCCUUACACAUGCAAGUCGAACGGCAGCACGGGUGCUUGCACCUGGUGGCGAGUGGCGAACGGGUGAGUAAUACAUCGGAACAUGUCCUGUAGUGGGGGAUAGCCCGGCGAAAGCCGGAUUAAUACCGCAUACGAUCUACGGAUGAAAGCGGGGGACCUUCGGGCCUCGCGCUAUAGGGUUGGCCGAUGGCUGAUUAGCUAGUUGGUGGGGUAAAGGCCUACCAAGGCGACGAUCAGUAGCUGGUCUGAGAGGACGACCAGCCACACUGGGACUGAGACACGGACCAGACUCCUACGGGAGGCAGCAGUGGGGAAUUUUGGACAAUGGGCGAAAGCCUGAUCCAGCAAUGCCGCGUGUGUGAAGAAGGCCUUCGGGUUGUAAAGCACUUUUGUCCGGAAAGAAAUCCUUGGCUCUAAUACAGCCGGGGGAUGACGGUACCGGAAGAAUAAGCACCGGCUAACUACGUG
rnacentral:rRNA from 1 species